GUAUUGUAUUGCGUUAGACGCGGCAUACAUUCCACAAGACUUUAUUGCAGUGUGUGUGUAAAGACGCAGAACUACAGAAGGAAGACAGGGUCCCCCAGGCCAUAGAACUACAGAAGGUGCACAGGUGUGAGUGGAUGUGUGAACAGAGCGUGCACAUGUCCCCAUUUGAGGACCAGCAACAACUCGUGUUUACGGUUCAGUAAUGAUCCUUCCGCAGGUUCACCUACGGAAA
rnacentral:misc_RNA from 1 species